rnacentral:tRNA from 1 species
GUGCGGAUAGCUUAGUGGUAGGGCACUUGCCUCUCAUGUAUGAGGCCCUGGGUUCAAUCCCAGCUCCACA